rnacentral:lncRNA from 1 species
CUAUGGAGUGUGGGUCAUUACACAAAUUAUAUGACUGAAACAACACUUACUAUGCCUAUAUAUCUGACAAAUAACACACGCUGUAUGGUGUUCCUCACCCACUUCACCAUUACAUGAACUUUGGACCACCCCCAAAUUCCAUCCCUCCAACUCCAAGUGCUUAUGUCACCAAGUAGUCAGUAGUUGGCAUCCAUUGCUGAACUUACGGCUAUUGUUCUCCAUUAUCCCAUUAGUAAGGUUUGGGUCCAGUUGAAGGAGUGUUCGUGGUUUGUACAUUAAGAAUAUCUUUAUUGCAAAAGGGGUGAAGAACUAUCUUUUUAUGUUCUGAAAAUGUUUAGUCAAUAGAAGAAGUUAUUUUAAGGGGAUAACAUGAUGCCACAUGUAAUUUAAGAAUAAUCUCAUAUUUCUACU